GGCUUAUGCCUGCCCGCUGGCCUUAUGUGUAACAUGACCGUUGUAUACUGGAAAGGCAUACGGAUGUCUAACUAAUAUACUCACGUGUAUCCAAUCUUUAUAAUUUGUCAUAGGUUACCUGGGCACAGAUAAAAGCAAUAAGCCAUAAAAUUUGAAUAAGUACAUGAGAAAAUCAUUAAUAUAAAUUUUAUAAGACUGAAUAUAAGGUAUAUGCACAGAAAAGAUCCCUAUUAGCUUAUUUACUUCAAAAGUUCUAAAAAACAUGUAAAAAAUUUUAAAUAUAUGAAAAUUGAUAUUUAUUUAUAAGGUUAUUCGUGAAAUAAUUAUUUUAAAUUGUUUAGU
rnacentral:misc_RNA from 1 species